GCCACCCGAAGCCUUUCAUUGUGAAUCUGCGGUGACAUCCCCCAAACCUGCCCAGGCAGUGAGCCGGAGCAGCGCGGCCUGUGCUAAUUGAUAGCCGGGGAGUGUGAGGCUUUGCUGCAUGGGCUGGCCCCCUGCUUUGGAUCCGGGGGCUGUGACACCAACGUUACGGAAGACCAACAUAUGAUGGGAAUGAAGGAUAAGGAAAAGAAUGAGAUAUCAGUGGCUACAUUUGGAAAUACUUUAUGGACGACUGUGUCAAUCAGCAGGACAACCAGCACUAUAGGCAAAGGAUAACAUUAUUUAGAAGGUUCAUAUCUGGCACAAAUUCACACUGUUCAUAAAGUGUAAAGAGUGCUAAUUGCUCAUAUUUAUUCUCCAUUAAAGGGACCAAUCAAAUAUUUAUAGACUUAAAUCAUAUUCCUGACUUUUAGAAAGUGAAACUAAUUGAAUUCCUAAAAGCCUUUGUAGAGGCCUUAUUGGGACCCCAUAUUUUGCACUGCGUACCAAAAAGAAUGAAGUUACAACAGUGUAAAUUUUGGGGAGGAUUAAUUGCACAAUUUGCUGCAAACCUAUCUCAUUAUCCAUAAAAUGUGAAAGAGUGCUGAAUGGCUCAUGUAUUUUGCAUUAAAGCAAUCAAAUAAAAAAUCUCCAUUAUC